rnacentral:rRNA from 1 species
CACGCCCUAAACGAUGCGAACUGGAUGUUGGUCUCAACUCGGAGAUCAGUGUCGAAGCUAACGCGUUAAGUUCGCCGCCUGGGGAGUACGGUCGCAAGACUGAAACUCAAAGGAAUUGACGGGGGCCCGCACAAGCGGUGGAGUAUGUGGUUUAAUUCGAUGCAACGCGAAGAACCUUACCUGGCCUUGACAUGUCUGGAAUCCUGCAGAGAUGCGGGAGUGCCUUCGGGAAUCAGAACACAGGUGC